CCUACGGGUGGCUGCAGUGAGGAAUAUUGGUCAAUGGCCGGAAGGCUGAACCAGCCAAGCCGCGUGAAGGACGAAGGUGCCAAGCAUUGUAAACUUCUUUUGUCAAGGGACAAAAUCAGGCUCGAGAGCCUGACCGAGGGUACUUGAAGAAAAAGCAUCGGCUAACUCCGUGCCAGCAGCCGCGGUAAUACGGAGGAUGCGAGCGUUAUCCGGAUUUAUUGGGUUUAAAGGGUGCGUAGGCGGACUGUUAAGUCAGCGGUAAAAUUGAGGGGCUCAACCUCGUCGAGCCGUUGAAACUGGUUGUGGGGAGAGGUCGGGAGGUAUGCGGAAGGCGGAGGGUAGAGGGGAAA
rnacentral:rRNA from 1 species